rnacentral:misc_RNA from 1 species
CUGCAUUGCGCGGAUUAUUUACUAAGAAUAUAAUACAAAGUUUUGCUUGCAUCUCAAGCCUUGAAAAUUAAAAGGAAAAGGCACUUGUGCCCAAAAUGUUCUAUUUCCUUGUCAACAAUUCGCUUACCAUAUUCGAUCUUAGAAACACCUGAACACAUCGACAGCUCCCAGCAGCGCGAUGCUUUACUUGCAACUGCUAGAAGAUGAUCUUCCCUUAAAGCAACAAGGGCUAAACGAGUUCCUCUCCUCCGAAUAUUCAUAUGCAAUAUGCUUCAAAAAUCACAAAAUUCAAUAAUCGUUAGUGUUGUAUUGAACACCAUAGACAUAGACCUGGACAUGAAAAUGAACUUGUGGCUACAUGAAAUAACCUCGCCGAUUUCUGAAGAUGCUCCAGUGAUGAUAAUUACCUUCCCCCGAUUUCAUUAUAUAUAUAUAUGAAUUUAUUUAUAUAGCUAAGGUGAAGAAAUGGUGACAUGGUAACAAGGCUGAAUACGAGAGUUUAGAAAAAUUAAAUAAGUAGAAGAAUGCUUGAUGAUCUAAUCUACUACUUCGAGCUCUAUAUAUCAGACGAGAAAGAAUCUGAAGAUGAAACUGGGAGGGAAAUUUCUUGAUGGG